AAUCCAGGUACACAGUUCUUUCCAAGAAAGAAUGACUUAAUUUCACUCGUGCUCGUAACCUGAUAAUCCUGUAGAUGACCGUAUUACCAUUGACUCAAACUCAUUAUUACCAAGCCACUUAAUUUAGUCCAAGGAAAUUAAAAUCAUUUAAAGAGUUCUAAUGGUUUGCUAAUGUGGUAGGGGAGAUGAAACACACUGGCCA
rnacentral:misc_RNA from 1 species